UACGAAGGGGGCUAGCGUUGUUCGGAGUUACUGGGCGUAAAGGGCGCGUAGGCGGCCCUCCAAGUCGGGCGUGAAAGCCCACGGCUCAACCGUGGAAUUGCGCUCGAGACUGAAGGGCUCGAGGACGGGAGAGGAUGGUGGAAUUCCCAGUGUAGAGGUGAAAUUCGUAGAUAUUGGGAAGAACACCGGUGGCGAAGGCGGCCUGCUGGGCAGUUGCUGACACUGAGGCGCGACAGCGUGGGGAGCAAACAGG
rnacentral:rRNA from 1 species